UCCAACAUGUGACAUUAAGAUAGCAGGUCUGUAUGGCUGUCUGUCUGUCUGCAUCACCGUUGGUUGGCUUUUCUUUGAAAACACUGGUAGAAAGCUCACACAGGAUGACCUGAGGGAAGAACCACAUCCUGACCACCAAUGCGUGCCAUCAGAGAGAAUCUGGGUGGUACACAGAGCCCAUACUGAGCAAAGCUAUAAAUCAGACCUUCACUUCCAUCAAUCCCCACACUGAUGUAUCUGCCUGUUUUGACUCACUCAGAUGCUACCAAACCUCUUCAGUACUGAUUGCUUCAAAACCUGAUUAAGCUCCUUCUGGAAAAGCUUUUUGAAGAGCUUGCCAAGAUUUCUGCCAGGUGACAUCAUAAGUGAAUUUCACCACAAGCUUUGCUGGAUAGACAGAACAGGAA